AACGAACGCUGGCGGCAUGCCUAACACAUGCAAGUCGAACGAGACCUUCGGGUCUAGUGGCGCACGGGUGUGUAACGCGUGGGAACCUGCCCUUAGGUUCGGAAUAACUCCCCGAAAGGGGUGCUAAUACCGGAUAAUGUCUUCGGACCAAAGAUUUAUCGCCUUUGGAUGGGCCCGCGUUGGAUUAGCUAGUUGGUAGGGUAAAAGCCUACCAAGGCGACGAUCCAUAGCUGGUCUGAGAGGAUGAUCAGCCACACUGGGACUGAGACACGGCCCAGACUCCUACGGGAGGCAGCAGUGGGGAAUAUUGGACACUGGGCGAAAGCCUGAUCCAGCAAUGCCGCGUGAGUGAUGAAGGCCUUAGGGUUGUAAAGCUCUUUUACCCGAGAUGAUAAUGACAGUACCGGGAGAAUAAGCUCCGGCUAACUCCGUG
rnacentral:rRNA from 1 species